GUCUGCAUGGAGCCGGCCUUGAAAUACCACCCUUUAAUGUUUGAUGUUCUAACGUGGACCCGUGAUCCGGGUUGCGGACAGUGUCUGGUGGGUAGUUUGACUGGGGCGGUCUCCUCCUAAAGAGUAACGGAGGAGCACGAAGGUUGGCUAAUCCUGGUCGGACAUCAGGAGGUUAGUGCAAUGGCAUAAGCCAGCUUGACUGCGAGCGUGACGGCGCGAGCAGGUGCGAAAGCAGGUCAUAGUGAUCCGGUGGUUCUGAAUGGAAGGGCCAUCGCUCAACGGAUAAAAGGUACUCCGGGGAUAACAGGCUGAUACCGCCCAAGAGUUCAUAUCGACGGCGGUGUUUGGCACCUCGAUGUCGGCUCAUCACAUCCUGGGGCUGAAGUAGGUCCCAAGGGUAUGGCUGUUCGCCAUUUAAAGUGGUACGCGAGCUGGGUUUAGAACGUCGUGAGACAGUUCGGUCCCUAUCUGCCGUGGGCGCUGGAGAACUGAGGGGGGCUGCUCCUAGUACGAGAGGACCGGAGUGGACGCAUCACUGGUGUUCGGGUUGUCAUGCCAAUGGCACUGCCCGGUAGCUAAAUGCGGAAGAGAUAAGUGCUGAAAGCAUCUAAGCACGAAACUUGCCCCGA
rnacentral:rRNA from 3 species